GAUGAACGCUGGUGGCGUGCCUAAUACAUGCAAGUCGAGCGAACGGACGAGGAGCUUGCUCCUCUGGCGUUAGCGGCGGACGGGUGAGUAACACGUGGAUAACCUACCUAUAAGACUGGGAUAACUUCGGGAAACCGGAGCUAAUACCGGAUAAUAUAUUGAACCGCAUGGUUCAAUAGUGAAAGACGGUUUUGCUGUCACUUAUAGAUGGAUCCGCGCCGCAUUAGCUAGUUGGUAAGGUAACGGCUUACCAAGGCAACGAUGCGUAGCCGACCUGAGAGGGUGAUCGGCCACACUGGAACUGAGACACGGUCCAGACUCCUACGGGAGGCAGCAGUAGGGAAUCUUCCGCAAUGGGCGAAAGCUUGACGGAGCAACGCCGCGUGAGUGAUGAAGGUCUUCGGAUCGUAAAACUCUGUUAUUAGGGAAGAACAAAUGUGUAAGUAACUAUGCACGUCUUGACGGUACCUAAUCAGAAAGCCACGGCUAACUACGUG
rnacentral:rRNA from 1 species